UUACUGUCUAUUCAAGUCAGUUCAUAGGGCUUCUCGUGAGUAGGAAAGUGGAUUCACAAACUCACAGGCUUUCCUUCUUUAAGGACCCUGUGAGGUGAUAUUAUGACCUCCACUUCACUAUGCCUCAGAAGGAAUUGAGGCAAUGAGAAAUAAAGUGGUUUAUCGAAGAUUACACAGCAAGUAGUGGAGCCACAAUUUGAACGAGGGAAUAUAAAGACUAAAAAGCAGAGGAAUUACCAAGGGCAGGCCUUGAAGGAUCUGAUAGAAGAGAGUGGUGAGGAAGUCUGAAGGAAAAAAACGGAAGUUUUCACAGAUGAGAAAGUAUGAAAAUGAGGAAUACAUCACAUAUGAUAGGUACUCCCUUCAUACAAGUUAAUAAAAAGAAGAGCCUGAAUAACCUGAGAAUAUAAUUUAUGGAGAUAGAAAUGGAGGAUUUGAGCAACUGAAGGGGAGGUGGUGCUGCAUAAGCUAUAUGGAAAAAAGUGACUAAGCAAGCAGUUGCAACUGCUAACAUUUUAAAGCAAACUACCUUGGAAGGUACCAAACGUACCAUGUCCUGUUUUCUUCUCUUUGGGAUAAGGUCUAUUGCGUCCCUUUAAGGACUUUAAUGAUUCCAUAAUUUUUAAUUAACAUGAGUUUAAGGACUUUAAUGAUUUUAAUCCAUUAAGGUCUUUAAUGGAUUAUAGGACUUUAAUGAUUCCAUACUUUUUAAUUAACAUGAACAAUUUCAUUCAAGCAUAACAUUUAUGGGUAAGGUGAAAAAUAAGAAAUCUAGCAGAACAACAUGCUUUUAUUUUACCAUCAUGCAUAAAAAGGAAGACAAAUAUGCCAAUGGUACACUUCCAAUUUGUCAGAGCAAUUUCACAGUAUUUAAGCAAUUUAGGAAAAAAGACACAUCACUUACUAAGUUGUUACCAGGGAAAAUUAUCAUGUAAGACAAUCAAUUAAACCACACUUUUGUAGAUUAUUUUUCCAUGAAGGCAAUUUGACAAGCCUAACAAAGACCAAGUUGUUCAAACUAUGUUUCUAGGAAUAUAGUUUAACAGAAACAAGAACAAGUUGAAAACUGUUAUGAAUAUUCAUGUCUCUAUAUUGUACAGGAAAGUAAAGACUAUUGUUCUUCCAAAUGUUCCCAAUUGAAAUCAAAAGAAUGUCUGCACAGCUCAAUUUUCACAAUAAGUUUAGAAACAGAAAAAAAAUAAGAUUUUACUAAAUCCUAAUGAAAUAACAAUCUUCCACAUGAAUCAGGUCACAAAACAAGCAAGCAAGCAUUCAAACUUGCGUUGUGUUUCUUUAAAGAACCCUUGUCUAGGCAACAUAUUUAACACUUUAACCCCUUCAAUUCUCCUUUAGCAAUCCUGAGAAGAAUUUCUCCAUUCAUCACCAUUGAGGAGUAAGUACUCCUACCUCGAAGGCUCUUAACGUCAGCACAGUCUUCAUUCUAGGCCCAAUUUUUACCUGGCCCAUGCCUCUAGCCUUUUGUUCAGUUUCCCCUGCUUAGGGCACCCAUCACAAUCUCUUUAGUUCCUCCACCCAUUAUAAACUAGAUCUCACCUUUCAUCCCAUCUAGACGUGUCUCCCUUUAAAUAUUCUAGGAGCUGAUAAAAGGGCUAGGAAGUAGGAAGUUGGGAAGAAAGAAAGUGGUGGGGGCAUAAGAGCUUUAGCACUCUAUUUUACAGGACAACUUGUUUGUCUCU